UACGAGGGGUCCUAGCGUUGUACGGAAUCAUUGGGCGUAAAGCGGGUGUAGGCGGAUCGAUAAGUCAGAUGUGAAAGCCCCGGGCUUAACCCGGGAAGUGCAUUUGAUACUGUUGAUCUUGAGUGUGGUAGAGGCUAGUGGAAUUCCUGGUGUAGUGGUGAAAUACGUAGAUAUCAGGAGGAACAUCGGUGGCGAAGGCGGCUAGCUGGACCAACACUGACGCUCAGACCCGAAAGCGUGGGGAGCAAACAGG
rnacentral:misc_RNA from 1 species